CGGAAUAAAUUUUCUUCGGGCUUGGUGAAUUAUGCAUGAGCGGGGCAAAAUUGGAGGAAACUCUGGUGGAGAUCCACAUUGAUAUUGAUGUGAAAAUCAUUUGUCUGGCUUGAAUUUAGGGGUGAAAAACUAAUCAAAUUGUCCAGUAUACUCAAAUCAUGGUUUUUCUCAAAAUAGCUGGAACUGGCGAGAGUUAUAUCCGGCGUAGAGCCAAUGAUUAGAGACAUCAGGGACGUAACGGCCCUCAACCUAUUCUCAAACUUUAAUUAUUUAAAUAGGUGGAACGAUGCGGCCACGUAAUCAACAGCUCCAAGUGGACCAUUUUUUGUAAGUAGAACUAGCGAUACGAAAUGAAUCGAAAACCGAGUUAUGAAUUAUGAUGCCGGUUAACUAGUUGUUAAAUACCCCGUAAAAUAUUCACUAGGACAAAGAGUUAUGUGUGUGUGUGUGUGUGUGAUAGGAC
rnacentral:ncRNA from 1 species